UACAGAGGUCUCGAGCGUUGUUCGGAUUUACUGGGCGUAAAGGGUGCGUAGGAGGCCGCGCAAGUCAGGCGUGAAAGCCCGGGGCUCAACCCCGGAACGGCGUUUGAAACUGCGCGGCUGGAGGGCCGGAGAGGCUGCCGGAAUUCCCGGUGUAGCAGUGAAAUGCGUAGAGAUCGGGAGGAACACCAAAGGCGAAGGCAGGCAGCUGGAAGGCACCUGACUCUGAGGCACGAAAGCCAGGGGAGCAAACGGG
rnacentral:rRNA from 1 species